GACGAAGAGGAUGCGGAGGAUGUCGAAGACUUUGAGGAUAAAUAUUAUCAUAUACUGACAGUCCUCAACGAGGCAAUUAAUCGUAUAUCCUCGCCCUCGUCUGAAUCUCCUGCCGCCGCAUCAUGUCAAAAUAACUUUAAGGCUAAGUUGCCUACUAUAAAGAUAGAUGUGUUUACGGAUUCGUACACGUCACGGGCGUACCAGUUGGAGCGAGAUGACACCAAGGACCCAACUAUCACCGAGUUCCUCUUGUACCUGGAGAAGCGAGCCUUGGCACUGGAGAAUGCUGAGCCGUCCACGUCGGGGAAGUCUCAACACAAGGCUGUGGUAAAUGUGACAGCGACCGCCUCGACUGCCUGCAACUAUUGUCCUGCUUCUGGAGCCGGUCCCUGGGCAGCAGCAGGAGUCAGAUGAAGACCCAGCGAGUCCUCAUCCUACAAUUGUAAAUACUAAGCUUGGCUACAUCAUCGGUGGUGCUUUAUCACGACAGCAAACCAGUGACAAAAGUAAGGUAACACUUUUAUGUACUCAAUGUGACUCAAGUCUUAACGAGAGUCUACAAAACUUUUGGAAAGCAGAAAGUGUUCCUGAACCCUUCUGUGAAGGCAUGUCUGAGCAUGAACAGUGUGAACGCUUAUUUCAAGACACAACUGUUUUGAAGGACAACAAGUUUCAGGUUGAUUUGCCAUUAAAAAUCCCUUUGAGUGAAGUCAAUGAUGUGCUUGGAAGCUCAUUUGAUAUGGCUUAUUACAGGUUCAUUAGCCUCGAAAAAAGAUUGCACAAAAAUAUAAAUUUGCUAUCCGAUUAUGAAAAGUUCAUCGAUGAAUAUGUUGACUUGAAGCAUGGGCACUAUAUUGAUUUCAAUCAAUUGGAUUUUGAGAAUGAUCCUCUAUAUUUUGCAUCCCACCAUUGUGUAAUUAAUGACUCAAGCAAAACUACGCGUACUCGUGUGGUUUUUGACUGCUCUUUGCAAUCUAACAAAAAGGUAUCUCUAAAUGAUAUUUUGCUAAAUGGAGGUCCGGUACAAAAGGAGUUGUUUGACAUAAUGCUUUUGUUCCGGCUAGGCGACUAUA